GCGUCAUUUCCUCCUCCAUGGAGCCGCCCUCUCGCUCAAUGAUGCCUGAACGAUACACAACAGAAAACUACACUGCAGGAACUUUUGCCAGAAUGCCCUUGGCUGCGUUUCAAUCCAGGGGGGUGAACAGAGUGCAGUCACUGACUAAGAUUUUGACCAGGACCUGGAUGUAGACGCCGGUGACGCCCAGAGAGAGACCGAACAUGGCAGGCAGCAUGAUGAGGAACACCACCACGAACAUCCACACCUGGAAAACACUCACCGCCACACUCC